rnacentral:rRNA from 1 species
GAACGCUGGCGGCGUGCUUAACACAUGCAAGUCGAACGAGAACGGGUUAUAGCUUGCUAUAAUUGUCAGCUAAGUGGCGCACGGGUGAGUAAUGUAUAGGUAAUAUGCCUCUUACUAAGGGAUAACAAAUGGAAACGUUUGCUAAUACCUUAUACUCUUAUUAACAGAAGUUAAUAAGGGAAAGAUUUAUUGGUAAGAGAUUAGCCUGUAUUGUAUCAGUUAGUUGGUGGGGUAAUGGCUUACCAAGACUAUGACACAUAACUGGUUUGAGAGGAUGAUCAGUCACACUGGAACUGAGACACGGUCCAGACUCCUACGGGAGGCAGCAGUGGGGAAUAUUGCACAAUGGACGAAAGUCUGAUGCAGCAACGCCGCGUGGAGGAUGACACAUUUCGGUGCGUAAACUCCUUUUUAUAUGAGAAGAUAAUGACGGUAUUAUAUGAAUAAGCACCGGCUAACUCCGUGCCAGCAGCCGCGGUAAUACGGGGG